rnacentral:rRNA from 1 species
UAGUGGCGGACGGGUGAGUAACGCGCGGGUAACCUGCCCAUAAGUGGGGAAUAACAGUUGGAAACGACUGCUAAUACCGCAUAAGCUGAGCAAUCAGUAAAGGAGGCUAACGCUUCCGCUUAUGGAUGGGCCCGCGUCUGAUUAGCUGGUUGGUGGGGUAAUGGCCUACCAAGGCAACGAUCAGUAGCCGGCCUGAGAGGGUGGACGGCCACACUGGGACUGAGACACGGCCCAGACUCCUACGGGAGGCAGCAGUGGGGAAUAUUGCGCAAUGGGGGAAACCCUGACGCAGCGACGCCGCGUGAGCGAAGAAGGCCUUAGGGUCGUAAAGCUCUGUUUUAAGGGACGAAUAUCCUCAGUAAUAACUGACUGGGGAAUGACGGUACCUUAAGAGAAAGCCCCGGCUAACUACGUGCCAGCAGCCGCGGUAAGACGUAGGGGGCGAGCGUUGUCCGGAAUUACUGGGCGUAAAGAGCACGUAGGCGGGAUUUUAAGUCAGGUGUGAAAGACCGUGGCUCAACCACGGGGUUGCACAUGAAACUGGAAUUCUUGAGGGCAGGAGAGGAAAGUGGAAUUCCUGGUGUAGCGGUGAAAUGCGUAGAAAUCAGGAGGAACACCGGUGGCGAAGGCGACUUUCUGGACUGACCCUGACGCUGAGGUGCGAAAGCGUGGGUAGCAAACAGGAUUAGAUACCCUGGUAGUCCACGCUGUAAACGAUGGAUACUAGGUGUGGGAGGUAUCGACCCCUUCCGUGCCGCAGCAAACGCAAUAAGUAUCCCGCCUGGGGAGUACGGUCGCAAGGCUGAAACUCAAGGGAAUUGACGGGGGCCCGCACAAGCGGUGGAGCAUGUGGUUUAAUUCGAUGCAACGCGAAGAACCUUACCAGGUCUUGACAUCCAAAGAAUCCUGAUGAAAGUCGGGAGUGCCUUAGGGAGCUUUGAGACAGGUGGUGCAUGGUUGUCGUCAGCUCGUGUCGUGAGAUGUUGGGUUAAGUCCCGCAACGAGCGCAACCCUUGCUAUUAGUUGCUAACAUUGAGUUGAGCACUCUAAUGGGACUGCCCGUGACAAGCGGGAGGAAGGUGGGGAUGACGUCAAAUCAUCAUGCCCUUUAUGAUCUGGGCUACACAUGUGCUACAAUGGAUGGUACAGAGAGCAGCGAGACAGUGAUGUGGAGCGAAUCUCAAAAAGCCAUUCUCAGUUCGGAUUGCAGGCUGCAACUCGCCUGCAUGAAGUCGGAAUCGCUAGUAAUCGCGGAUCAGCAUGUCGCGGUGAAUGCGUUCCCGGGCCUUGCACUCACCGCCCGUCA